AGCAGCCGCGGUAAUUCCAGCUCCAAUAGCGUAUAUUAAAGUUGUUGCAGUUAAAAAGCUCGUAGUUGAAUUUCGGGAUCAGUACGCUGGUCGUGCCUUUGGUAUGUACUGGUGUCACUGAUUCCUCCCUUCUGAAGAACCGUUAUGCCAUUUAUUUGGUGUGGCGGGAAAUCAGGACUGUUACUUUGAAAAAAUUAGAGUGUUUAAAGCAGGCUCGCGCUUGAAUACAUUAGCAUGGAAUAAUGAAAUAGGACGUUUGAUCUUAUUUUGUUGGUUUCUAGGAUCGACGUAAUGAUUAAUAGGGAUAGUUGGGGGCAUUAGUAUUCAAUUGUCAGAGGUGAAAUUCUUGGAUUUAUUGAAGACUAACUACUGCGAAAGCAUUUGCCAAGGAUGUUUUCAUUAAUCAAGAACGAAAGUUAGGGGAUCGAAGACGAUCAGAUACCGUCGUAGUCUUAACCAUAAACUAUGCCGACUAGGGAUCGGA
rnacentral:rRNA from 1 species